rnacentral:rRNA from 1 species
UACGGAGGAUGCAAGCGUUAUCCGGAAUGAUUGGGCGUAAAGCGUCCGCAGGUGGCUAUGUAAGUCUGCUGUUAAAGAGUGAGGCUCAACCUCAUAAGAGCAGUGGAAACUACAUGGCUAGAGUGCGUUCGGGGCAGAGGGAAUUCCUGGUGUAGCGGUGAAAUGCGUAGAGAUCAGGAAGAACACCGGUGGCGAAAGCGCUCUGCUAGGCCGCAACUGACACUGAGGGACGAAAGCGAGGGGAGCGAAUGGG